rnacentral:rRNA from 1 species
UACGGAGGGGGCUAGCGUUGUUCGGAAUUACUGGGCGUAAAGCGCACGUAGGCGGACUGAUCAGUCAGGGGUGAAAUCCCGGGGCUCAACCCCGGAACUGCCUUUGAUACUGUCAGUCUGGAGGUCGAGAGAGGUGAGUGGAAUUCCGAGUGUAGAGGUGAAAUUCGUAGAUAUUCGGAGGAACACCAGUGGCGAAGGCGACUCUCUGGGACGGUACUGACGCUGAGACGCGAAAGCGUGGGGAGCGAACAGG